rnacentral:rRNA from 1 species
AAUCAACGCUGGCGGCGUGCCUCAGACAUGCAAGUCGAACGAUUAAAGCUCUCUUCGGAGAGUGCAUAGAGUGGCGCACGGGUGAGUAACACGUAAGUAAUCUACCUUCGAGUGGGGAAUAACGUCCGGAAACGGACGCUAAUACCGCAUAAUGCAGCGGCAUCAUAAGAUGACAGUUGUUAAAGAUUUAUCGCUUGAAGAGGAGCUUGCGGCAGAUUAGCUAGUUGGUAAGGUAAUGGCUUACCAAGGCUACGAUCUGUAACCGGUCUAAGAGGACGGUCGGUCACACUGACACUGAAUAACGGGUCAGACUCCUACGGGAGGCAGCAGUCGGGAAUUUUGGGCAAUGGGCGAAAGCCUGACCCAGCAACGCCGCGUGAAGGAUGAAGUAUUUCGGUAUGUAAACUUCGAAGAAUGGGAAGAAUCAAUGACGGUACCAUUUAUAAGGU